AGGAGAAUUGCUUGAACCCGGGAGGCAGAGGUUGCAGUGAGCCGAGAUUGUGCCACUGCACUCCAUCCUGGGUGACAGAGUGAGACUCCAUCUCAAAAAAUAAAGAAAGAAAGAAAAAAAAAGAAAAGAAAAAAACAGUAGAGUGAGCAUCCAGUAGGUGGCUGAAUAAUAGUAAAACUCAGCUGUGUAAACAUACAUCUCUUUGCACAGGAGGCAGUGAACAACAGGAUUGGAAACAUCUCUGUUUAACUGGAUAGCCAUUUAAAGGAUGAGUAGGCAAAACAAGGGCUUUUUCAUUUUAUACAUUUGGUUGAACUACCUUGGAUUUACUUUUGUUCUGAUCUGUAAAGGAAGUAAGGUAGGAAAGAGUGCAUUUAAUCACUGUAAUAAGGUGAGAGAGAUUAGAGCUCCUUUGUAAUUGUUACAAAAAUAUAAAAAUUAAGUGAUUGUCCUGAUAUUCAGCUGUCCUAUACAUGACUUAUCUGUCAUUCAUCAUCAUAAUUUCCUUUAAGACAAUGAUUAAUUUAUUGUACAGUCAGUUGUUUAAUGCCUGCUGUAUGCUAGUGGGUAGUUAUUCACUGUUGAAUGAAAUAAGGAUUACAUCUUCCUUUGGGAAGGUUUAGGGAUCAGAAAAUCAACAAAAGAGCAAAAAGAAAAAUCAGUGGAUAUGCGUUUGAAAAUUGUGAAAUGAAGAAAUGAAACAUGAUGCUGGAAUUGAGAAUAAAGGACAUAGACUGCCUUACAGUCGGUAGGGCAAGCCUUUCUGUGUAAGAGAUAUUUAACCAACCAUUAAGAAUGAGAAGGAGUUGGCCUUUCACAGAGCCCUGGACAGAUUAUUUUUAGGAGAUGAAAAAUCCCAUAGAAAACUAUAUGAAAUGGGAAAUGUUAUGACACAAUCGAGGAGCUGAAUAGAAGCAAGUCAUAAUAAGAGGGAGUAAGGAGGACAAUGUCUUUGAAAGAGGUCUUUAGGUAACCAAAGACCAUAUUAUAUUAUAUGGUAACAUGUUUGGAUUUUAUUCUAAGAGUAAAGAAAAACUGUUAAAAUUGUUAAGUGGAGAUUCUCAAACUUUGAUCUAUAUCAGAAUCAUCUAGUGGAGUUAUUAAAAAUUCAGAUACCAAAUUACUCCUGUAGAUUUGGUUCACUUGACUUGUGUGUAACUAAAUAGCAGUAUUUGUGAUAAAGUUCCCCAGAUGAUUCUCAUACACAAUAAAAUUUUAGAACCACUGACGUAAAUAAACUAUUUGCCAUAUCACCACAAUCUUAUAUAAUCUUUUUUUUUUUUUUGAGACAGAGUUUAGCUCUUGUAGCCCAGGCUGGAGUGCAAUGGCGCAAUCUCAGCUCACUGCAACCUCCGCCUCCCAGGUUCAAGCAAUUCUCCUGCCUCAGCCUCCCUAGUAGCUGGAAUUACAGGAGUGCGCCACCAUACUUGGCUAACUUUUGUAUUUUUAGUAGAGACAGGGUUUCACCAUGUUGGCCAGGCUGGUCUCGAACUCCUGACCUCAAGUGAUCCGCCUGCCUCGGCCUCCCAAAGUGCUGGGAUUACAGGCGUGAGCCACCACAUCCGACCCAAUCUUUCCACUUUUUGGAGCUUUUCACUGGCUAUUAAAUCUCCCAGGAAUCCUGACUUGGGUUUGCAUGGUUGGGUUUCUUUCAUCCAUCAGGUUUCAUUUUAAAAAUCAGAAAAAUGAUCCCUGCUGACUUCAUGUAAUAUAUAUCCUUUGUUU
rnacentral:lncRNA from 1 species